AUCCUUGAAAGAGUGCGUAAUAGCUCACUGGUCAAGUGAUUCCGCGCCGACAAUGUAGCGGGGCUCAAGCGUACCGCCGAAGUCGUGUCAUUGCAGCAUGUGGUCCAACGGCCGCUGUGAUGGGUAGGGGAGCGUCGUGUGCCGGGUGAAGCAGCCGUGUAAGCGAGUUGUGGAUGGUUCACGAGUGAGAAUGCAGGCAUGAGUAGCGAUACACACGUGGGAAACGUGUGCGCCGAUUGACUAAGGGUUCCUGGGUCAAGCUGAUCUGCCCAGGGUAAGUCGGGACCUAAGGCGAGGCCGACAGGCGUAGUCGAUGGACAACCGGUUGAUAUUCCGGUACCCGCUUUGAAACGCCCAGUAUCGAAUCCUCUGAUGCUAAGGCCGUGAAGCCGUCCUGGAUCCUUCGGGUGAAGGGGAGUGGUGGAGCCGCCGGUCCAAGGUGGUAGUAGGUAAGUGAUGGGGUGACGCAGGAAGGUAGUCCAUCCCGGGCGGUGGUUGUCCCGGGGUAAGGGUGUAGGACGUCAUGCAGGUAAAUCCGUGUGACAUUGAGUCUGAGACCUGAUGCCGAGCCGAUUGUGGUGAAGUGGAUGAUCCUAUGCUGUCGAGAAAAGCCUCUAGCGAGUUUCAUGGCGGCCCGUACCCUAAACCGACUCAGGUGGUCAGGUAGAGAAUACCGAGGCGUUCGGGUGAACUAUGGUUAAGGAACUCGGCAAAAUGCCCCCGUAACUUCGGGAGAAGGGGGGCCAUUGCUGGUGAUGGGAUUUUCUCCUUGAGCUGGUGGUGGCCGCAGAGACCAGCGAGAAGCGACUGUUUACUAAAAACACAGGUCCGUGCGAAGCCGUAAGGCGAUGUAUACGGACUGACGCCUGCCCGGUGCUGGAACGUUAAGGGGACCGGUUAGUCACAUUUCGGUGUGGCGAGGCUGAGAACUUAAGCGCCAGUAAACGGCGGUGGUAACUAUAACCAUCCUAAGGUAGCGAAAUUCCUUGUCGGGUAAGUUCCGACCUGCACGAAUGGCGUAACGACUUCUCGACUGUCUCAACCAUAGGCCCGGUGAAAUUGCAUUACGAGUAAAGAUGCUCGUUUCGCGCAGCAGGACGGAAAGACCCCGGGACCUUUACUAUAGCUUGAUAUUGGUGUUCGGUUCGGCUUGUGUAGGAUAGGUGGGAGACUGUGAACUCUGGACGCCAGUUCAGGGGGAGUCGUUGUUGAAAUACCACUCUGGUCGUGCUGGAUGUCUAACCUGGGUCCGUGAUCCGGAUCAGGGACAGUGUCUGGUGGGUAGUUUAACUGGGGCGGUUGCCUCCUAAAGGGUAACGGAGGCGCCCAAAGGUUCCCUCAGCCUGGUUGGCAAUCAGGUGUUGAGUGUAAGUGCACAAGGGAGCUUGACUGUGAGACCGACGGGUCGAGCAGGGACGAAAGUCGGGACUAGUGAUCCGGCGGUGGCUUGUGGAAGCGCCGUCGCUCAACGGAUAAAAGGUACCCCGGGGAUAACAGGCUGAUCUUCCCCAAGAGUCCAUAUCGACGGGAUGGUUUGGCACCUCGAUGUCGGCUCGUCGCAUCCUGGGGCUGGAGUCGGUCCCAAGGGUUGGGCUGUUCGCCCAUUAAAGCGGUACGCGAGCUGGGUUUAGAACGUCGUGAGACAGUUCGGUCCCUAUCCGCUGUGCGCGUAGGAGUCUUGAGAAGGGCUGUCCCUAGUACGAGAGGACCGGGACGGACGAACCUCUGGUGUGCCAGUUGUUCUGCCAAGGGCAUGGCUGGUUGGCUACGUUCGGGAGGGAUAACCGCUGAAAGCAUCUAAGCGGGAAGCCUGCUUCGAGAUGAGGACUCCCACCCACUUGAUGGGUUAAGGCUCCCAGUAGACGACUGGGUUGAUAGGCCAGAUAUGGAAGCCGGGUGACCGGUGGAGUUGACUGGUACUAAUAGGCCGAGGGCUUGUCCUC
rnacentral:rRNA from 1 species